rnacentral:rRNA from 1 species
UGGGGAAUUUUGGACAAUGGGCGAAAGCCUGAUCCAGCAAUGCCGCGUGUGUGAAGAAGGCCUUCGGGUUGUAAAGCACUUUUGUCCGGAAAGAAAUCCUUGGCUCUAAUACAGUCGGGGGAUGACGGUACCGGAAGAAUAAGCACCGGCUAACUACGUGCCAGCAGCCGCGGUAAUACGUAGGGUGCAAGCGUUAAUCGGAAUUACUGGGCGUAAAGCGUGCGCAGGCGGUUUGCUAAGACCGAUGUGAAAUCCCCGGGCUCAACCUGGGAACUGCAUUGGUGACUGGCAGGCUAGAGUAUGGCAGAGGGGGGUAGAAUUCCACGUGUAGCAGUGAAAUGCGUAGAGAUGUGGAGGAAUACCGAUGGCGAAGGCAGCCCCCUGGGCCAAUACUGACGCUCAUGCACGAAAAGCGUGGGGAGCAAACAGGAUUAGAUACCCUGGUAGUCCACGCCCUAAAACGAUGUCAACUAGUUGUUGGGGACUCAUUUCCUUAGUAACGUAGCUAACGCGUGAAGUUGACCGCCUGGGGAGUACGGUCGC